CUGUUCUCAUGGAGGUUUGUUGCUGACAGAGCUCAAGGAGACAGGACAAUGGAGGAAGCGGAAUUGACUGGUAAUCAUUUGGAUCCUUUGUACUUCCCGAGCUGAAGGAGCAGCUGCCAACUGCCUGUGACACCGUGUCCUUCUCUUUGGCACUGACUGGAGCCUCAGCUCUGCUGGCUGUGAAAAAUGGACAAUAACAUUUCAUUCACACAAGAGUGAUGUGGUUUAAUUAUAGUGAAGGUUCAAAAACAACUUGAGGAUGAAGUGUUGUGUAAGUGCUAAAUGUUAUCCUUGACAAUGACACAGGGACCAGAAAAUUGGUCUUUCAGAUCAUCAAGUUAUUCCAUAAAUUACAAACCAAUUUCUCUCCUUAAAUGAAGAGUUUCUGAGACAUUCAGCUUUCUUGCUAAUUGUUUGCCUUUAACAAUUGGAUGGAUUUAAGUAAAUUGACUGGUGGAGACAAAUGUGUUUUCCAGCUCGACAUUGUCUGACAUGCAAUGAUUAGAAAUGGACUGGCUGCAGACCAGAGCCAAGCCCUGCAGGUGGUCACCAAAAGGACAAACUUGUAGUGGGAUUUUCUAGGGAGAGUUCAAAAGGGCCUGUAACAGGCUGUCCCUCCUGGAGGCUGUCCUCCCCUUGCCUUCAUGUUUAGCUGAGUAAAACCAAGUAACUCCUGUCCCACGUCCUUGUCUGCUUUUCCGUGUCACUCAGAACUCGCAGGUUUUGUACCUGGAUCUUCCUGGGAGCUCAGUCUGUGAUGGAGACACCAGAGCCUGGGGUUCCACACUCCCCCGAGUCCCUCUGCCUCUCCUGUGAUACUUUUGAAGCUGCUCCAAAGGCAGGGGUGGGGCAUAAAUGACAAUGCAGUCAAGUUUUUUUAAGUUGUGCUUAAAAAGCAGAAGUAUUAAAAGCUCAGCUGUGCCAUGCAGUUUGUCUUUCAGUCAAAACCCAAACAAACCAACCCAAAAAAUAAGUUCCAGCUCUUCCUCAGGUCUGCAGCUCCCCUGGAAGGAGUGGGAAUAAAGAAAUGCUGUCAUCAGAGGCUAGUAUUUUCAGUUUUCUGAUUUUGAAAGUAGACCUUGGACUGUGUGUCCCUGUCUGCUUUGUGCAUUUUUGCAUUCUGGAUAAAAAUAAUGAAGGGACCCUGGUGAUGAAUAAAAAUGACAAGUUUUGUUAUUACUUUAAAGUAUCACAAGGCUGGAGGUAUGUGUAUGUAGGGAAUAUAUAUAUGUAAGGAAUAAUAUGUAAUAAUAUGUAAGGAAAUUAUCUCCCAGAUUGCUCUGUCAGUGUUUUACCUUGUGUUCCCUUACAGACCUUUGUUCCUGUCGUUGUCUCAUCUUCUGGUUCCUUGUGGACUUUCAGUUGUGGAACCUCUUGUGCCAAGUGUAUUUCCAGCCAGAGAUGUAUCCCUGUAUUUUAUGGAGACCUGGCCAUGGAGAAAACAUCCCAUCACCUCCAGAACAAAACAGGCUGUGGCUCUGAUUCUGGAAUCAAUAAACCACUGGGAUUUGCAAUGGCAGGACAACUCCACAACGUGACAAAGGCCAGGAAUGAGAACAUCUCUGUCAGGGGUCACUCAGCUGUGACUCUUGCACAUCUGUCUGUGAGCAGCUCCAAAGGCAGAAGAUGAAUGUAAUCAGAACCACUCAUGAUGAUUUGCAAAGCACUGUUUAUGCUUUUAACUGCAUUCCCUGGGAUCAGGCGCUGGAUCUUGCCUUUGACCCUCUUUCUAGAGCUGGCCCAGUGAAACUCUCCCCACUCACCCUUCAGUAAAUAACAAAAAUAAAAAUUCAAGCCUUCAACGACUGUGCCACCACCCUUGUGAGGAAAUGUGUUGGUGUAGCUACGUUGCAUUUCUGUCUAUUCCCCUAAUCUAAUCCCCCAUGUGGGGUUUAUCACAGAGCAGGGCCCAAGCUGCAGUGCCCAGCAUGUGCUGCUGGAGCUGGAUAAUAUUUCAUUUUUAACAGUUCUUUCCCCACUGCUGCUUAAACCACCGUGCUGAGCAACACAAACUCUGCUGGGAAAAGAUACCUUUGCCAGCUUGAAUUUAUUUCUGUUCACUGGAACAACUGGUUGGAAGUGUGUGGUUGUUUCCCUUGGUAGUAGGCAAGGCUAGGCUUCAAAAACAUUGAGAAAUGCUCUAAAAAAUGCAUUUUCCAGGCACUGUUCAUACUAGUU